rnacentral:rRNA from 1 species
ACUGAAUCUAGCCCAAAACCUAAUAAAUAAAACUAUUAUAUAACCAAUAAAUCAAAACAUUUAAUUACCCAAUAAAGUAUAGGAGAUAGAAAUAUUAUUUGGAGCUAUAGAGAAAGUACCGCAAGGGAAUGAUGAAAGACAAUCUAAAGUAUUAAAUAGCAAAGAUUAACCCUUAUACCUUUUGCAUAAUGAACUAGUUAGCAUUAACCUAGCAAAGAGAACUUAAGCUAGGUACCCCGAAACCAGACGAGCUACCUAUAAACAAUUUAUAAGAAUAAACUCGUCUAUGUAGCAAAAUAGUGAGAAGAUUUAUAGGUAGAGGUGAAAAGCCUAACGAGCCUGGUGAUAGCUGGUUGCCCAGAACAGAAUUUUAGUUCAACUUUAAAUUUACCAGAAAAACACCCAAAAAUUCUAAUGUAAAUUUAAAAUAUAAUCUAAAAAGGUACAGCUUUUUAGACAAAGGAUACAGCCUUACCUAGAGAGUAAAAUACAUAAUCAAACCAUAGUAGGCUCAAGAGCAGCCAUCAAUUAAGAAAGCGUUCAAGCUCGACAACUAUAAAACCAUUAAUACCAAAAACCCCCUUAUCACCUCCUAGUGUAUUACUGGGCUAAUCUAUACUAAUAUAGAAGUAAUAAUGCUAGUAUGAGUAACAAGAAACACUUCUCCUUGCAUAAGCUUAUAACAGAAACGGAUAUCCGCUGAUAGUUAACAACAAGAUAAAUAUAAACAAUUAUAAAUAACUCUAUCAAAUCAAUUGUUAGCCCAACACAGGAAUGCAAUUAAAGGAAAGAUUAAAAGAAGUAAAAGGAACUCGGCAAACAUAAACCCCGCCUGUUUACCAAAAACAUCACCUCCAGCAUAACUAAUAUUGGAGGCACUGCCUGCCCAGUGACAUAAGUUAAACGGCCGCGGUAUCCUGACCGUGCAAAGGUAGCAUAAUCAUUUGUUCUCUAAAUAAGGACUUGUAUGAAUGGCCACACGAGGGUUUAACUGUCUCUUACUUCCAAUCAGUGAAAUUGACCUCCCCGUGAAGAGGCGGGGAUAAACUAAUAAGACGAGAAGACCCUAUGGAGCUUUAAUUAAUUAAUUCAUAAUAUUAUCAAACAUUACCCAAUAGGCAUAAUCAAAACUAUUAAUGAAUUAAUAAUUUAGGUUGGGGUGACCUCGGAACAUAAAAUAACCUCCGAGAAAAAAAAUCAAGACCUACUAGUCAAAAUACAUUUCUAUUUAUUGAUCCAAAAUAAUUUGAUCAACGGAACAAGUUACCCUAGGGAUAACAGCGCAAUCCUAUUUAAGAGUCCAUAUCGACAAUAGGGUUUACGACCUCGAUGUUGGAUCAGGACAUCCUAAUGGUGCAGCAGCUAUUAAAGGUUCGUUUGUUCAACGAUUAAAGUCCUACGUGAUCUGAGUUCAGACCGGAGCAAUCCAGGUCGGUUUCUAUCUAUUAUACAAUUUUUCCCAGUACGAAAGGACAAGAAAAAUAAGGCCAACUUAAACAGUAAGCGCCUUCAGACUAACGGAUGAAAUAAUCUUAAUCCGGCUAGUCUACUUCCAACCCUGCCCUAGAGACAGGGUUU